rnacentral:rRNA from 1 species
UAGGGAAUCUUCGUCAAUGGACGAAAGUCUGACCGAGCAACGCCGCGUGAGUGAAGAAGGUUUUCGGAUCGUAAUACUCUGUUGUUAGAGAAGAACAAGGACGUUAGUAACUGAACGUCCCCUGACGGUAUCUAACCAGAAAGCCACGGCUAACUACGUGCCAGCAGCCGCGGUAAUACGUAGGUUGCAAGCGUUGUCCGGAUUUAUUGGGCGUAAAGCGAGCGCAGGCGGUUUCUUAAGUCUGAUGUGAAAGCCCCCGGCUCAAGCGGGGAGGGUCAUUGGAAACUGGGAGACAUGAGUGCAGAAGAGGAGAGAGGAAUUCCAUGUGUAGCGGUGAAAUGCGUAGAUAUAUGGAGGAACACCAGUGGAGAAGGCGGCUCUCUGGGCUGUAACUGACGAUGAGGCUCGAAAGCGUGGGGAGCAAACAGG